CCUACGGGUGGCAGCAGUGAGGAAUAUUGGUCAAUGGACGAGAGUCUGAACCAGCCAAGUAGCGUGAAGGAUGACUGCCCUAUGGGUUGUAAACUUCUUUUAUAUGGGAAUAAAAUGUUCCACGUGUGGGUUUUUGUAUGUACCAUAUGAAUAAGGAUCGGCUAACUCCGUGCCAGCAGCCGCGGUAAUACGGAGGAUCCGAGCGUUAUCCGGAUUUAUUGGGUUUAAAGGGUGCGUAGGUGGAUUGUUAAGUCAGUAGUGAAAGUGUGCGGCUCAACCGUAGAAGUGCCGUUGAAACUGGCAGUCUUGAGUACAGUAGAGGUGGGCGGAAUGCGUGGUGUAGCGGUGAAAUGCUUAGAUAUCACGAAGAACGCCGAUUGCGAAGGCAGCUCACCGGACGGCAACUGACACUGAGGCUCGAAAGUGUGGGUAUCAAACAGGAUUAGAUACCCUAGUAGUC
rnacentral:rRNA from 1 species